rnacentral:lncRNA from 1 species
CAUAUUUUCCUGCUAUAUAAAAUUUUGCAACAUAAUUUUGACCUCAAUUUAAAAACACAGCGUUAUAAAGAAAGACAACUUAACCUACAACAAGACAAUUUACCCGGAGAAGAAAAUUUGUGGCAAUUCAAUUCAUUCAUCACAAUUAAGGACAAAUAAUCAAUUACCCACCAUAAUCUCAAGAAAAAUUGGGUUAAUUAAAUUAAAAAAAAAACAGGGGAAAGGGAGAUCCAAGUAAAAAAAUAAACAUAACAAAAUUUUAUACAGCAACAAUAUUACAUAAUACAAUAUUUUCAGUGUCUCUGCAAAUAAUCUCUAUACUUUAGUAACUAGUAAUUAACUUAACUGCCAUAAACGCCUUUUCUAUUUAAAAUAAAAAAGAAAAUUAAAAACAGCACUAAAAAUUAAAAGAAAAUAUAUAUAUAUAUAUAUAAGAUGAAGAUUUAUAGUUGCAGAGACGUAACAGAAACAGAUCAGUUAUUAUCUAUCGGAAUCAUAUCCAAUCGGUAUAGGUGGUGUUGUAGAAGGAGAAACUCCUCCGUCUUCUAUUCCGUUACCGUUAAUGUUUUUCCGUCCACCAUCGCCGCCUGGCAAAGACGCAAACGGCGUAGCAAAAUUAACGAUACUUUGAAAUACUCUUUUUUUGACUUGUCCUCUUCUCGGUGGAAGUAGUGUUUGUUUGUUGUUUUCCAUUUCAAAUAUGAGAGAGAGAGAGAGAGAAAUGGUUGUUAAUGAUGAUUAUGAUGAUGAUGAUUAUGAUUAUGAUGAGUAGAGUGAACUGUGAAGAUAUAUAUAUAAUGUAAAGUGGGAACGAGUGUGUGAGACUGUAGGGACUCAGUAACUUGGCCGCGAAGAUUUAUUGAGUCGCUGUUGUAACUCGGUGUCACCUAUGUGGAAUAUUCAACCCUUGUGUGUCUACGUGG